rnacentral:rRNA from 1 species
AUUGAACGCUGGCGGCAUGCUUUACACAUGCAAGUCGAACGGUAACAGGCCGCAAGGUGCUGACGAGUGGCGAACGGGUGAGUAAUGCAUCGGAACGUGCCCAGUCGUGGGGGAUAACGCAGCGAAAGCUGUGCUAAUACCGCAUACGAUCUAUGGAUGAAAGCGGGGGAACGUAAGGCCUCGCGCGAUUGGAGUGGCCGAUGUCAGAUUAGGUAGUUGGUGGGGUAAAGGCCUACCAAGCCGACGAUCUGUAGCUGGUCUGAGAGGACGACCAGCCACACUGGGACUGAGACACGGCCCAGACUCCUACGGGAGGCAGCAGUGGGGAAUUUUGGACAAUGGGCGCAAGCCUGAUCCAGCAAUGCCGCGUGCAGGAAGAAGGCCUUCGGGUUGUAAACUGCUUUUGUACGGAACGAAACGGUCUGGGUUAAUACCCUGGGCUAAUGACGGUACCGUAAGAAUAAGCACCGGCUAACUACGUGCCAGCAGCCGCGGUAAGAC